CUCAGUCAAGCGUUGUCACUUUUACUUCACGCGCACAAAUAUUUGACUCGACGCGCGCAACGUCCAGCUUAACUGUCCACUUGAGGUGCACCGUCACCGCUCGACCUGUUGUCUCUUUUUCUUAGGCCAAUGAUGCUUGUAUCAAUCAGCAGGGACUGGGAAUCGAACCCAGGCCUACCGGGUGCGAGUCCGUCGCUCUACCGAUCGAGCCAUUGUAGGCCUAAAGAUUACAUAUUAAAUCUUUCGAACGAAAUUUAUUGCUCUAUCUAUACAAUAACGUUUUGAGACGGCGGGAUCGAAAGGUCAGUUUGGGGAAAAUACAAACUAGUAUUGUACCUGUCAUGGAUGAAACUUCAAGAAAAAUUCCAGUCUUAUCAUAAUAAUCGUAUCACUGGAUAACGCUUGUUUCAUGAUAAGAGUAUACAAUAAAAAUUAUAUCCUCAUGAAAUAUAAAUUUAUAGCUUCUUUCAGUCGAAAAAAAUUGCAUUUGAAUCAAUAGUGACUGAUGUAAUCCUAAUACUGUGACAUUAGUUGACGUUAAAUAGACUUCGAAAGUAAUAUAUUCAAGUUCAUAUAUUCAAGUCAUUGCAUAUGAACUGUUAUCUUACUCUUUAUUAAAAUAAUAUGUAUUCGUGUAAUGGAUAGCAAAUA